rnacentral:rRNA from 1 species
ACGGGUGAGUAACACGUGGGAACGUACCCUUUGGUUCGGAAUAACGCUGGGAAACUAGCGCUAAUACCGGAUACGCCCUUUUGGGGAAAGGCUUGCUGCCGAAGGAUCGGCCCGCGUCUGAUUAGCUAGUUGGUGGGGUAAUGGCCUACCAAGGCGACGAUCAGUAGCUGGUCUGAGAGGAUGAUCAGCCACACUGGGACUGAGACACGGCCCAGACUCCUACGGGAGGCAGCAGUGGGGAAUAUUGGACAAUGGGCGCAAGCCUGAUCCAGCCUUGCCGCGUGAGUGAUGAAGGCCUUAGGGUUGUAAAGCUCUUUUGUCCGGGACGAUAAUGACGGUACCGGAAGAAUAAGCCCCGGCUAACUUCGUGCCAGCAGCCGCGGUAAUACGAAGGGGGCUAGCGUUGCUCGGAAUCACUGGGCGUAAAGGGCGCGUAGGCGGCCAUUCAAGUCGGGGGUGAAAGCCUGUGGCUCAACCACAGAAUUGCCUUCGAUACUGUUUGGCUUGAGUAUGGUAGAGGUCGGUGGAACUGCGAGUGUAGAGGUGAAAUUCGUAGA